UUGGAGGGCAAGUCUGGUGCCAGCAGCCGCGGUAAUUCCAGCUCCAAUAGCGUAUAUUAAAGUUGNUGCAGUUAAAAAGCUCGUAGUUGAAUUUCGGGANCAGACUGUCGGUCGUGCCUCGGUACGCACUGGCACNAUUGGUUCCUNCCUUCUGANGAACCGCGAUGUCAUUAAUUUGGUGUCACGGGGAAUCAGGACUGUUACUUUGAAAAAAUUAGAGUGUUUAAAGCAGGCGCACGCUUGAAUACAUUAGCAUGGAAUAAUGAAAUAGGACGUUUGAUUCUAUUUUGUUGGUUUCUAGGAUCGACGUAAUGAUUAAUAGGGAUAGUUGGGGGCAUUAGUAUUCAAUUGUCAGAGGUGAAAUUCUUGGAUUUAUUGAAGACUAACUACUGCGAAAGCAUUUGCCAAGGAUGUUUUCAUUAAUCAGGAACGAAAGUUAGGGGAUCGAAGACGAUCAGAUACCGUCGUAGUCUUAACCAUAAACUAUGCCGACUAGGGAUCGGACGGUGUUAUUUUUUGACCCGUUCGGCNCCUUACGGGAAAC
rnacentral:rRNA from 1 species